AUGGUACUUUAUGAAUAAGGGUCGGCUAACUUCGUGCCAGCAGCCGCGGUAAUACGAAGGACCCAAGCGUUAUCCGGAUUUACUGGGUUUAAAGGGUGCGUAGGUGGACUUGUAAGUCAGUGGUGAAAUCCCCAAGCUCAACUUGGGAACUGCCAUUGAUACUGCUAGUCUUGAGUAUAGUUGAGGUAGGCGGAAUAUGUCAUGUAGUGGUGAAAUACUUAGAUAUGACAUAGAACACCGAUUGCGAAGGCAGCUUGCUAAGCUAUAACUGACACUGAUGCACGAAAGCGUGGGGAGCAAACAGGAUUAGAUACCCUGGUAGUCCACGCCCUAAACGAUGAUAACUCGAUGUUGGCGAUACACUGUCAGCGUCCAAGCGAAAGCAUUAAGUUAUCCACCUGGGGAGUACGACCGCAAGGUUGAAACUCAAAGGAAUUGACGGGGGCCCGCACAAGCGGAGGAGCAUGUGGUUUAAUUCGAUGAUACGCGAGGAACCUUACCCGGGCUUGAAAGUUAGUGAAUGAUUUAGAAAUAGAUCAGCUAGCAAUA
rnacentral:rRNA from 1 species